CCAGCACUCAUAUGGCUUCCUGGACCAUGCCGCCCCAACUCUUAACCCUGGGCUAUUGUUGCUACUACAACCUGCUAAGCAGCGGAGCUGCCUCAUCUGACCAGCCCUCAUAUCAAAGUCCGGUCCUAGCAGCUGCCAACUUGGGCCUAGAGCACCCUGACGACAACCCCCGAACCACAGCCCGAUGACAUCUCACCUGGGAAUCCCGAUAUUGACCAUCCAUGGCAGGGGAACCGGAGGCACAGGUGACAGGCGCACAUGGAGCACGGGACUGGCAACAACCCAACUUUUCACAGGACUUGCAGAUCGGACACGAGAAGAGGCAGGAAUGAGUCCGUAAGAUCCAGCAGGACUGUCUAUAUGUCAUCUGCGGCACACAGAGAAUGGCGCCUGGGGGGCUGCGUGGCCUUGAGAGACUCCAGUGGCACAUUUUAGCUUCAGUGCAACCUAUUAGAAUGCUCCCUUAUAUUAAUUUACUUUGUCUUUUAUUUUUCUCCACAUUGAGUACGGUAUAGCAUGCUUAUAUGUUUCUAAUGGGCUAAGUAAUACUCCUACACCCAUGGGCUUAUAGCUAUAUGAGAUCAAGUAUUAUUGCCUGUCAGCGACCGCUUGGUUGCUCUACCCUAUAACAGGCAUGUACCUGCAGGGUAUCAUUAUUAUAGCAUACAUAACCUGUCACUUGUCACACCCUGUUUCCCCAAUCUCUAACUUGUACUUAACAUGCGCCCAGAAAAGUCAUACUGAUGUUAUGUCACACAGAUAAACCUUACUUACAUCAUACAUCUCGAAAGGGAUGUCCCUUUGCACCCACUGUAUAGAACCAAAGGCUCCUCAUUACCACACAACACUACAAAUGACGAGUUAAGUCUAACAAUCAGGGGUUUAUUACAAUCAAUCUCCAUGUCCUUACUACUUAAGCUAAUGGGUGUAUCUGUUUCUCCUGACUAAACAUAAUCUGACAGCUGCCCAAAAUAGUAAUCUUUGCUCGUUUUAUUUUCCCUUUUUUUCUUUAAAAUGCAACAAACGUAUGACGUAUCAAAAGUUAAUCUUAAAGCGUACAAAAUAAUCUUGUGAAUUUCCCUGUAUAAAAAAAAAAAAAGUGCAAUGUUUUUGAUGCCAUACUACUGUUACCAUGUGAAUUCAAACCGGUUUGCACCAGCUGAUGUGGCAGUGCUAAUCUACAUGUAAA